AAGGUAGCGCAGUCAAUUGUCCUUUAAUUGGGGAAAGGAAUGAAAGGGUUGACGAGGGGUGAGCUGUCUUUAUAGUAUAGUUUGAAGUUUUCUUUUACGUGAAAAGACUUAAAUUUAAAAAUAAGAAGAGAAGACCCCGGCGAGCUUGGUAAGGGUUAUUAAACUAAAAUAAUUAUUGAGGUUUGUUGGGGCAACGCAAAGGGAAAAUAACUCCUUUGAACGUAAUAAAGAUCCACUUAGAGUGAACAAAGCAAAAGCUACCGCGGGGAUAACAGCGCAAUUUUUUCAGAGAGUUCAUAUCGAAGAGAAUGUUUGCGACCU
rnacentral:rRNA from 1 species